ACAAGCGCCGCCUGGCGUAAGAGCUGCCUUGCUCCGGCUUACGGUGGUGUCUCUGUGUCGGAGGCCGUGCUUCCCAUCCUCCCGUGUUUCCGAAACCGUGGAGAGCGCUAGGUAGCACUUCUUCCAGAAGUGAAUUCCAAGAGCCCUCGCUCGCACACCAAACGGUCUGUGCUCUCCAUGCUGCAUGUCGAGGCGGGCACAGCCUCUCUCAUGUGUUCAUCUCUGUCCGGAUCAGCUUUUGGAUCAUGGAGGCAGGCGUAUUGUUUUUCCUUUUGGAACACCGGGAGAAUCUCCCAGACACCUGAGGAGCUGGUGACUUGAUGGAGAGGACCUGGCACGUGGCCAGCCUCCGUAGGUCUGUGAGGGCCUUUGUGCAGGCUGGCCAGACAGUCUGAGCUGUCCUCUUACGAUCCAGUGCUUGAAAACCUUCCCAACGCCUGGGAGCGUUAGGAGGCUGCGCUGCUCUGGUAGUCAGGCUAGUGAGGUAGGUAUUUCAGUUAGGCUGAGGACCAAAGGGUGGCUUGUCUCCUGGGGUCACUUAAGAUAAUGCCUUUGGAGCAUAGUUUACUUAGGCCGGUGACAUGGAGGAUAGGUGACUGACAUUCCACUGAGAAGACAAAUGUGACAUCGGUGUUAAAGGCCACUCUGGGGGCUCAGGGCUUGCCACAACCAGAUCAGAAGGGAGAAUGCUCUUCUUGGGUAUUGCCAGGACAGAGUAGGACGUUGUACGUUACAGGACCACGCCCCAGUGCUUUUCCCACUGUCCUUUUAGGAGGUGCAGUGCCAGUAUCUCCAUUCUUUGUCCUGUGUCUAGGUGGUCCCAGAUCUUGAAGAGGCUACUAGGUGUUCCUCAGACUCUAAUUCUAUGCUUUAGACCUACGAAUUUAUAAGUCCAAGAAUCUGUGAAACAGGAAAUUAAAAGCCAGCAUCAAAAAAAAAAAUUGAAAUCUUAAACUGAGACUGUUUUCUGAGUGCUGGGAGGGAUACAAAGGAAAGCAAGAAUUCUUUUAUUUGCCUAAAAUGAGACAGUCACUGGGCUGGGGCACGGCUCAGAUAUGCAAGCUUGGACUCUGAAUUUCUUGAUUCUCUACUUAAAGUUUGGGGUUUUUUUUAGAAUGCAGGAAACAAGCAUUUUUCAACUAUUAAAGUGUGAUUUCUUUGGAUAUUAAA
rnacentral:lncRNA from 1 species